rnacentral:rRNA from 1 species
UACGUAGGGUGCGAGCGUUGUCCGGAAUUAUUGGGCGUAAAGAGCUCGUAGGCGGUUUGUCGCGUCUGCUGUGAAAUCCCGAGGCUCAACCUCGGGCCUGCAGUGGGUACGGGCAGACUAGAGUGCGGUAGGGGAGAUUGGAAUUCCUGGUGUAGCGGUGGAAUGCGCAGAUAUCAGGAGGAACACCGAUGGCGAAGGCAGAUCUCUGGGCCGUAACUGACGCUGAGGAGCGAAAGCGUGGGGAGCGAACAGG